rnacentral:lncRNA from 1 species
CAGAGGUCUGCUGCACAGACUUACUUUUAUUUUUCAAUGGGCGAAAUAGACCUAAGACUCUUAGAGUCCAGCCCAUCUAUUGGGGCUGAUCUCCUGGCACAGAGAAGAUCAUGAAUCACUGCCACAUGGAAAAAGCAAAAGAAUAUUUAACGGGCAACUUGACCUCUGGUCAGAACAUCCCAAACAGUUGAGAGCAAGGACAGAGCCUUUGGUAUUAAAUGCCUCUGAACUGAAAGGGCGGGAAGGCAGUGUUCCGGCUCUUGUGCUUCGGACAUGGAGCAACUUCUUUCAACCACUUGUCACAGGCUACGUGGGCAGCUCGUGCGUUCUGGAAUUUCUGAGGGAGACUUACCAAGUGCUUUCUGCUGAGACUGACGCAGCCAAGCGGGGGCAUCUGCGUGCCAGGAAUAUAUGGUUGCAUAAAACUGCAUCUUGGAGGAGCAUGAGAAUAAUGGCAGCCAGGCCAGCCUUGGGGCCUGGGUGCUGGAGCUGGAGCUGGAGCUUGGGUCCUGGGGUAUCAUCUACCACCUUCUUUGCCACACGGCUCUCACUGCUGGCGUCUGGACCCCACGUGUUGCUGCUGCAGCCGCCCUUGGCGCUGUCGGGAUUCUCAUCACAAGCCAAGGCCCCAUGCACCUGGAAGACAUUUGAACUCCUGCGCUGUUGA